rnacentral:sRNA from 1 species
UAUAACCAGUGAAAACUUGCCGUGGCGAA